UGCGCGGGCGUCCGGCGGAGGUCUCGCGAUCCUCCGACAGCCGCUGGGACCCGGGGACUAGGCACGGAGAGGCCAGGCCCGCUCUUCCCCUCACCCCUCCCGUACCCCUGCCACGGUGCCCGGGGUUGGACUUGAGUUCGCGCGGAGAGGGCGGAGCCGCCGGCAGGGGACAUCUCUAAGGGGCUCUGUCCCUUCAGGAGCUUCCCGGAGAUGCUUUACGGCUGCAUUUGCAAAGCGCAGCGCCUCCAAGUGCUGGUGGGGGAGUCAGAAAGUUCCCAUCUGUAGCAAACGCACUCCUGAAACCCCACACCGACCACCAAGCCUUCCCAGCUGAGAAUCCCUGUGCCGAACCAGUCCUGCGAGACGUGUGCGUCCCUCCUCCCGGCCAGUCCUGCUCCACUGCCAGCACCUCUCUCCGUGACUCCGUGCAUAGCCAAGCCCUUCGCCAGACAGCUGCUGAAUGAAGGAAAUCAGGCACGGGAUGAUUCUACUACCCCAGGAUGUGCACAUAUUGAAGGGAAGGAAGGAGGAGCCACCGAGAGACUGAUCUGCACUGUAGACUAAGACUGAACACACAGGCAGUGGCCAGAGCAGAUGGAAAGACAGCUCCGACGCAGGUCCUGCAGAAACCUGCCCAGCAAACCAACUCCUCCUCAUCAACAAGAAAACACCCAGGCCGUAGGUCACAUUUGUAAGAAGACAAUCUCUAGUAACAAUUCAGAAAAGUGAAACACCAACUUUCUGGAACAAUUGGCUCAAAACGGCCAGAACUGACAACUUCCCCAAGUUUUGUCCACAUUGCAACUUAGGACCAACCAUCGAAAGUCAAAUAUGCACCCCCAACCAGUCAUACAGGACGCCCAGCUUCUAGGUACCUGCCUUACAGCUUCCCCACGCCUGCAGCUUCCAGAGAAGGCACAUCCGAAUCCUUCCCUUUUUCCUGCUAUAAAUAAAGCUUUCCCGCCCCUCUGCCCUUGAGUCUCUUUGACAACAAGUGACCAAGGCUAACUGACUCCCUUGCUGUAGCAAGCUUUGAAUAAAUAGCCUUUGCUCUUCU